rnacentral:rRNA from 1 species
GUUCGAGUGAGGGCCUCUGGGUCCACCUCCCACCCAUGUUUAUUGUACCUUGUUGCUUCGGCGGGCCCGCCUCACGGCCGCCGGGGGGCUUCUGCCCUCUGGCCCGCGCCCGCCGAAGACACCAUUGAACACUGUCUGAAGAUUGCAGUCUGAGCAAUUAGCUAAAUAAGUUAAAACUUUCAACAACGGAUCUCUUGGUUCCGGCAUCGAUGAAGAACGCAGCGAAAUGCGAUACGUAAUGUGAAUUGCAGAAUUCAGUGAAUCAUCGAGUCUUUGAACGCACAUUGCGCCCCUUGGUAUUCCGGGGGGCAUGCCUGUCCGAGCGUCAUUGCUGCCCUCAAGCACGGCUUGUGUGUUGGGCCCCGUCCUCCUUCCCGGGGGACGGGCCCGAAAGGCAGCGGCGGCACCGCGUCCGGUCCUCGAGCGUAUGGGGCUUUGUCACCCGCUCUUGUAGGCCCGGCCGGCGCUUGCCGACAACCAUCAAUCUUUUUUCAGGUUGACCUCGGAUCAGGUAGGGAUACCCGCUGAACUUAAGCAUAUCAAUAAGCGGAGGAAG